AGAACCCCGGCGAGGGGAGUGAAAAAGAACCUGAAACCGUGUACGUACAAGCAGUGGGAGCACAGGUUUACCUGUGUGACUGCGUACCUUUUGUAUAAUGGGUCAGCGACUUAUAUUCUGUAGCAAGGUUAACCGAAUAGGGGAGCCGGAGGGAAACCGAGUCUUAAUUGGGCGUUAAGUUGCAGGGUAUAGACCCGAAACCCGGUGAUCUAGCCAUGGGCAGGUUGAAGGUUGGGUAACACUAACUGGAGGACCGAACCGACUAAUGUUGAAAAAUUAGCGGAUGACCUGUGGCUGGGGGUGAAAGGCCAAUCAAACCGGGAGAUAGCUGGUUCUCCCCGAAAGCUAUUUAGGUAGCGCCUCGUGAAUUCAUCUCCGGGGGUAGAGCACUGUUUCGGCUAGGGGGCCAUCCCGGCUUACCAACCCGAUGCAAACUGCGAAUACCGGAGAAUGUUAUCACGGGAGACACACGGCGGGUGCUAACGUCCGUCGUGAAGAGGGAAACAACCCAGACCGCCAGCUAAGGUCCCAAAGUCAUGGUUAAGUGGGAAACGAUGUGGGAAGGCCCAGACAGCCAGGAUGUUGGCUUAGAAGCAGCCAUCAUUUAAAGAAAGCGUAAUAGCUCACUGGUCGAGUCGGCCUGCGCGGAAGAUGUAACGGGGCUAAACCAU
rnacentral:rRNA from 1 species